CCAGAACGCCGCCUUUCUUUUUAUGCCACCGUCUGCCUUUCAAACGUAUUCUUUUACGAAGAAGACAAAAGAGCCCUAUAGCCGGCACACUCGUCAUGAGAUGGAACUGCUGAGGUUGGCGAUUGUUCUUCUAGCUGCAGUCCUCUGUCAAGCGUUUUCAGACAUCACCCCGUCUUCGCCCAGGAACUCCUCAGAGCCGGGACAGACCGGCGGGCCGAAUCACGCUCCUCCUCUCAUACCACAGCUGUCUGGAAACUGUUCCGGGACUCUGGGGCUUCUGAACAC